UACGUAGGGGGCUAGCGUUGUCCGGAUUUAUUGGGCGUAAAGAGCGUGUAGGCGGCCAGGUAGGUCUGCUGUGAAAACUCGAGGCUCAACCUCGAGACGUCGGCGGAAACCAUCUGGCUAGAGUCCGGAAGAGGAGAGUGGAAUUCCUGGUGUAGCGGUGAAAUGCGCAGAUAUCAGGAAGAACACCCGUGGCGAAGGCGGCUCUCUGGGGACGGUACUGACGCUGAGACGCGAAAAGCGUGGGG
rnacentral:rRNA from 1 species